AAUAAUACCCGGGUAGUCCACGCCGUAAACGUUGGGCGCUAGAUGUGGGGACCUUUCCACGGUUUCCGUGUCGUAGCUAACGCAUUAAGCGCCCCGCCUGGGGAGUACGGCCGCAAGGCUAAAACUCAAAGGAAUUGACGGGGGCCCGCACAAGCGGCGGAGCAUGCGGAUUAAUUCGAUGCAACGCGAAGAACCUUACCAAGGCUUGACAUACACGAGAACGGGCCAGAAAUGGUCAACUCUUUGGACACUCGUGAACAGGUGGUGCAUGGUUGUCGUCAGCUCGUGUCGUGAGAUGUUGGGUUAAGUCCCGCAACGAGCGCAACCCUCGUCGCAUGUUGCCAGCACGUUAUGGUGGGGACUCAUGUGAGACUGCCGGGGUCAACUCGGAGGAAGGUGGGGAUGACGUCAAAUCAUCAUGCCCCUUAUGUCUUGGGCUUCACGCAUGCUACAAUGGCCGGUGCAAAGGGCUGCGAUGUCGUAAGGCGGAGCGAAUCCCAAAAAGCCGGUCUCAGUUCGGAUUGAGGUCUGC
rnacentral:rRNA from 1 species